rnacentral:tRNA from 1 species
GACCGCGUAUAGCUCAGUUGGCAGAGCAUUGGGCUAGUAUUCCAGAGGUCGUAGGUUCGAUUCCCACCGUGGCCA